rnacentral:rRNA from 1 species
UUGGAGGGCAAGUCUGGUGCCAGCAGCCGCGGUAAUUCCAGCUCCAAUAGCGUAUAUUAAAGUUGUUGCAGUUAAAAAGCUCGUAGUUGAACUUCGGGAUCAAUGAGUUGGUCGUGCCAUUGGUAUGAACUGGCUUUAUUGGUUCUCACCUUCUAAUGAACCAUAAUGUCAUUCAUUUGAUGUUUUGGGGAAUUAGGACUGUUACCUUGAAAAAAUUAGAGUGUUUAAAGCAGGCUCACGCUUGAAUACAUUAGCAUGGAAUAAUGAAAUAGGACAUCGCAUUCUAUUUUGUUGGUUUCUAGGAUCGAUGUAAUGAUUAAUAGGGAUAGUUGGGGGCAUUAGUAUUCAAUUGUCAGAGGUGAAAUUCUUGGAUUUAUUGAAGACUAACUACUGCGAAAGCAUUUGCCAAGGAUGUUUUCAUUAAUCAAGAACGAAAGUUAGGGGAUCGAAGACGAUCAGAUACCGUCGUAGUCUUAACCAUAAACUAUGCCGACUAGGGAUCGGAUGAUGUUGAUUUUUUAAUGACUCAUUCGGCGCCUUACGGGAAAC